CCUGCGCGUUGGGGUUGCGCUGGGGUAGGUGUCCAGCGCUGUAGGAGGAACGCGUUGGGAGGAAAGCUUGCGGGCGUGCGGACUCGGCUUCGGGCCGAGAACUUUGAAGAAUUUUGCAGAACCCUGCUACCUACAGACUCUGCCAUGGACAUCAUGUAAGGAAACCCCGGAUGCAGUAACGGACAAAACAUGAAUCAAUUUGUGUUGUGGCAUUCAAAUCCUAACACACUGGGAGAGAUUGUGGAAGACCCAAGGAAACUUACAGAUUACAUUUGUUCUCUGUCCACAAGUGAUUCUGAAUGAAGAGGACGUAGGACCGGGCAGUGGUAGGAUGGACUGGCUGGAGAAGACAGGCCCUGCAGCUCUCAGUUUGGACUAGGCUGACUGGCCAGUAAGCCCCAGGACCCUCCUGUUUGCACUCUUGGUACUAACUAGGGUUACAGAGUUGAUGUCACACGAUGUCACUUGAGUUCAGGCCUUGAUGCACAUAGCAAGCACUUUACCAAUUGAGCUGUCUUCCCAGACUCAACAGUUUUGUUUGUUUUUAAAGAUUUAUGUACGUAUAUGAGUACAUCCUCACACCAGAAGAGAGCAUCAAACAGCUGUGACUGCCAUGCGUGUGUUGGGAAUUGAACUCAGGACCUUUGGAAGAGCACAUCAAGUACCGAGAUUUUGAAGAUCGUGGCCCAUCCUUGUGCAUUCAGGACUUGAGUGUGGAGAACUUGGAGCUGUAAAGCCUCUUCAGAAGCUUCAUGUGUCUGUCAUGCGCAUUGAAGCUCUGCAUUAAACCCUCUCACACAAGGAAAUGCUCAAAGGGACUGAAGCCCAUUAAUACAGGCAUUCACAGUUAAGAGAUUACCUCAAAUCUGAAAUAAGGCUUUGGACUUUGAACAGUGUUGGAAUUGUUGGAGAACAUGGGGUCUUCUGAAGUUGUCCUGGACAUGUUUGCAUUAUAAGAUGGCAAUGAAGGCUUCCAGGAAAACUCAGAAAGUAUUGCAGUAACUUUGACCUGUGUUCAAUCCCCAAAGCCAAAGUGUGGAAGGAGAGAGCCAAUUCCUGCAACUUCUUCUGACUUCUAUAGUAUUUACAUAUGUCGGGUCACAUGCAUCAGUAUGCACACACACACAGAGAGAGAGAGAGACAGAGAGAGAGAAGUAGAUGUAAUAAAAACAUUUAAACACAUGGUCAUAAAAUUCUGGAAAGAAGGGUUGAAAGGCCCAUGGCUUUAAAUUGUUGUUUUCAGCUGUCAGGUUGUAAAGGAUGGAGUUGUGGUUAGUGUUGAUUUUUACCUUUAUAGCAUCUAGAACCUCCUGAGAAACAAAGCUCUGGGCACACCUGUCAGGGGUCAUCUUGAUGGAGUUAUUUGAGAUAGGAAGACCUACUAUGUGUAGCUCCAUGCCAUAGGCUCACCUCCUGGACUUCAUGAAAGAAGCAAGCAGGCAGAGCCAGCAUGCCCCACCCCGUUCCCCCUGGCUGUGACGCAGUGUGACCAGCUGCUUCAGGCUCCUGAUACCAUGACUACCUUGGCACUGUGGGCUGCACUCUGGAACUGUGAGCCAAAAUAAACUCCUUUCUUAAGUUCUUUUAUCAGGGUUUCUAUCGCAGCAACAGGACAAGGAAGUAGGACAAUGGCCCAGGAACACUUUUCUCUAGAAAUGCGAACGAUUCUUCUAAAGCUUAGAGCCUCUGUGUUGGAGAUUCCUUGCGGAUAACGUGCUCUGCUCUCAGAUGACUGCACACUAACUGCUUAUCUUCUGGUCCCCUGGUCUGUGAGUGGGGCUCUCUCCAACAGUCUUACUUUAGCUUAUUUUACUCUGUUCCCUUUCUCUGCUCUGCUCCCCAUGUGUUUACCUUAGAGUGAUGUCCUCUGUGAAGUAUUUCCCCAGGUGGCACCAGAGACACUCAGAACAUGUUUAUUAAAUGUGUGUAUUUAGCCUGUACAAAGAGAUUUGUAUAGAUCCGUGACCCAAACUGAGCUUAUAUUUAAAAAUUACUUUAAAGAAUGAAUUUAAUAUUCUGCUUUGUUCUAAAACACUUGAAAUAGCUGUAGUACUAUCUAUACCAUACUAUAUGACAGCAGCUAUCGUGUUGGGAAGACAUAUGCAGAGAACAAAAACAAGAGUGUAGUUGUCAUUUUAAACUGGGUAAUGUUUACAGGCAGAAAGUCCUGUACAGUGUCAAUGGGUAGGUUGUGCAUUGGAGUCACUGAAAGUUGUCUUGCUCAGAUAUGACCGCAGUGGACUCGUGACUCUUGUUCUGUGGAACCCUGAAAACCUAUUUGCCUAGAAGGAAGCUUGAAAUUGCUAUUCUAGAAAAACCUGUUAAACCCCUGUGGAUCUGUUCAUUGUUACAGUUUGCUCACUCAGAGCUGGCAGUCACCAGAACCAGCCACUGCCGAUGUUAAUGUUCGAACAUUCCCAGAGUUGAUGCAAACUUGGUGACCGGAUAUUUUUGAAAGUCAUUUGUUAAAGAUAUUAACCAGUAUGUGGAUUACUUCAGGUCCUCCUGUUCCAGCUAUGAGGAAGACAAGAGUGCAGGAAUUCUGCCUGCUUGCUGCCUGCCUGCUUGCUGCUGCCUCCCUGCCUGCCUGCCUCCCUGCCUGUCUGUCUGCCUCCCUGCCUGCUGCCUGCCUGCCUACCUGCCUCCCUGCCUCCUGCCUGUCUGCCUCCCUGCCUGCUGCCUGCCUGCCUACCUGCCUCCCUGCCUGCCUGCCUGCCUGCCUCACUGCCUAUCUGCCUGCCUCCUUGCCUGCUGCCUGCCUGCCUGCCUGCUACCUUUCAAGGAGGAUCAUUGGCAGCUUAUGUGCAGGUUCUUACAUGUUAAGAAGCAACUGGGAAGGAGGAUGAGAGAGGUAAAUUGGGUUUCCAGAACUCUUUGACUAAUUUACAUUCAGAGUGGUCUUGUGAAUACAGAGUUCCACAGGCCACCACAUGUGCAGCAUAUGUCUGUUCAUGGUAAGUACACUUCCCCAAUACUCCUUUGUCCUUUUUGCUAUUUUAAACUGAGUGUAAUAAGGUGGGAGCCAGAAAUAGGGACAAAGGACUGCAGACCAAAUUUCCUAGACAGAGCUGGUGUUUAUAGGAAAAGACGGUACUGACAGCGCCCACAUUGCCACAGUACCGAAUAUCGAGUGUAGGCCUGGGGGGUUAACAGAAAACAUAGAUACAGGUCAUUCUGUAAGGAGAAUGCCACGGUUUUACUGAGGGUCCAGCAAUAUAUACUGAAGGCCAUGGAAGACAACAGGAAAAAACAAUUACAGCCAUAGGUCAAGCACCUGGGAAGUUCCUACCACACUGGGCAGGAAAGCAGGAAUCAAGCUAAGCUGCAGGAUGUUUGCUGUCAGGAAACCUGUGCAAACAGCUCAGCUGGGGGCACUGAGCUAAGCUCACUGGUUCCCAACAGAUCCCCCUUUUUAAUUUUUUUAAGAAGGAAUAGUGUCUGUCUUAGGACACCUUCCGUCCAACUCCCAUUACCCAUCUCUGGGUAUCUCUGCCAGUCCCAGAGCCCCUAUCUUAGGUUGGUGUGGACUGGAAAGGAGUUGCCUGUCAUAGACUAACUAUUCUUGAUACAGGCUGAGCCAAAUUUGAGCAGAUGUAUUAUCCUGUGCCAAAGACAUAAGCACUUGUUCAGUUACUGCUCUGGACUGGUUCUGUUGUUUGCACAUACGGUUUAGAAGGAACAAUCUCAAUGCAGCAGCUCCACAAGCCAAAAGCCCCAGUGCCAUGGACCCAGAUUUUUUUUAAUCAGGGGUGGCGAUAAUGCCAAAGUCUCUCUGAUGGUGAUACAAGGUGACAGGGAAUCUCCCUUCAUUAUUUAGAGGCUUAGGUACAAUUCCAGGAGUUCUCACAACCACAGCAGCAUCUUCAUACUCUCAGUAGUUUGUCAAUACACACAAUCUGCUAGAACAAUUCAAUUUCUUUUUGUCUUCUUCUUGUUUAUUAGAGACUUUUCAAACUACAGAAAAGAAUGGGACUAAAACACAUGGUUUAGUAUUCAAGGAAACAUUGCAAAGCACAAGACAGGAACCAAGAAAUGAAGUUCUAACUAUUACUAUUUUUAAUAAAACAUAAACUAUUCUCUAAUACAA